rnacentral:rRNA from 1 species
UACGGGAGGCAGCAGUGGGGAAUAUUGCACAAUGGGCGCAAGCCUGAUGCAGCCAUGCCGCGUGUAUGAAGAAGGCCUUCGGGUUGUAAAGUACUUUCAGUCGUGAGGAAGGUGUUAAGGUUAAUAACCUUAGCAAUUGACGUUAGCGACAGAAGAAGCACCGGCUAACUCCGUGCCAGCAGCCGCGGUAAUACGGAGGGUGCGAGCGUUAAUCGGAAUUACUGGGCGUAAAGGGCACGCAGGCGGUUAAUUAAGUUGGAUGUGAAAUCCCCGGGCUUAACCUGGGAAUGGCAUUCAAGACUGGUUAGCUAGAGUCUUGUAGAGGGGGUAGAAUUCCAUGUGUAGCGGUGAAAUGCGUAGAGAUGUGGAGGAAUACCGGUGGCGAAGGCGGCCCCUGGACAAGACUGACGCUCAUGUGCGAAAGCGUGGGGAGCGAAACAGGGAUUAGAUAC